CCCUUAGAUGUUCUGGGCCGCACACGCGCUACACUGAAGGAGGCAGCGUGUACUCCUGGAUCGAAAGAUUUGGGUAACCCGCGAAUCUCCUUCGUGCUAGGGAUUGAGGUUUGCAAUUAUCCUUCAUGAACGAGGAAUUCCCAGUAAGUGCAAGUCAUAAGCUUGCGCUGACUACGUCCCUGCCCUUUGUACACACCGCCCGUCGCUACUACCGAUUGAGUGAUCCGGUGAAUAAUUCGGACUGCAGCAGUGUUCAGUUCCUGAACGUUGCAGCGGAAAGUUUAGUGAACCUUAUCACUUAGAGGAAGGAGAAGUCGUAACA
rnacentral:rRNA from 1 species